rnacentral:rRNA from 1 species
GAUGAACGCUAGCGGCAGGCUUAACACAUGCAAGUCGAGGGGUAGAGGUUGCUUGCAACCUUGAGACCGGCGCACGGGUGCGUAACGCGUAUGCAACCUACCUUUUACAGAGGGAUAGCCCAGAGAAAUUUGGAUUAAUACCUCAUAGUAUAUAACCUUCGCAUGUUGGUUAUAUUAAAGUUCCAACGGUGAAAGAUGGGCAUGCGUCCUAUUAGCUAGAUGGUAAGGUAACGGCUUACCAUGGCAACGAUAGGUAGGGGUCCUGAGAGGGAGAUCCCCCACACUGGUACUGAGACACGGACCAGACUCCUACGGGAGGCAGCAGUGAGGAAUAUUGGACAAUGGGCGCAAGCCUGAUCCAGCCAUGCCGCGUGCAGGAAGAAGCAUCUAUGGUGUGUAAACUGCUUUUGUACAGGAAGAAACACCCCGACGUGUCGGGACUUGACGGUACUGUAAGAAUAAGGAUCGGCUAACUCCGUGCCAGCAGCCGCCGUAAAAC